rnacentral:tRNA from 4 species
AUUAUUUUGGCAGAUUAGUGCAAAAGAUUUAGAAUCUUUAAAAAUAGAUUUUUCUAUAAAUAAUA